UGUGAGUCUUGCUGUUUCUAGGGCACAUGAAAAAAUGGAAACAAUUUUUGAAUUGUUUAUUUUCAUACACUGUUAUUCUGAAUAACUUCAAUUGCAAACUGUAAAAUCUCUUCCAUUGGUUUUUCAGUAAAUUUUCCAAAUUUUAUGGAUGAUUGGUCAAAUUAGCAAGAAAGUGAUUAGGUUUUUGUUUGUUUUCAUAAAACUUUGUUAAUGAGAAGACUUGGGAUUGGGAUUGAUGGGGAGGAAUGGAAAAGAUGGAUUAUGCACAUGGACUUUCAGUCAGCUAAAGGUGCAGGAUUAUUGCCACAAUUGUAGGUUUCUUUUUCCUAUGUUGUUCUUUAAAAAUAAUAAGACAAGAAAUUAGUCAAUCAUUAAUCUUGUACGAGUAAUUGAAUAAGAAGAUGAACCAUGGAGUUAAACAUUGAGGCAUUUGUUAACAUGCGUUGUAUGUUUAUCAUCAAACAUUUGACAAGAUAUCAUGAAGCUAAAUUCUUAUGCUGACAGAUCUACUUUGUUUCUGUUUAUGCAAGUCUG
rnacentral:misc_RNA from 1 species